rnacentral:tRNA from 1 species
GUUAUUUUGGCAGAUUAGUGCGAUGAAUUUAGAAUUCAUAUAUGUGAAUUUUUAC